CUGAAAAUUGGCUUUUUUAAAUAAAUCUGGUAGCUCUCAAAAGAGUCUUUCCUUUACUGAGCAGUUCAUUUUCAGUGUGCUGCCUGCCUGCGAUCAGAGGAGUCUGCUUGUCUACCAUCAGAGGAGUCUGCCUGUCUGCCAUCAGAGGACUCUGUCUGCCUGCCUGCCUGCCUGCCUGCCAUCUGUCUCCCUGCCUGCCUGCCUGCGCCUGCCAUGUCACCAGAGGAGUAGAUCUGUGAAAAAUGAAGAGACCAGGGUUCAAUGUGUUUGUUUAUUUCCAACUUGCUAAAGUCUUCAUUCUGCUGACAGUCUGUAUGGGAUCAUACUGUUGCUACAUGAAGAAAACCUGUCAUCAAGAACAGGGUUGGUAAUGCACCAAUGUUCCUAUAUAGUCCAUACAUACCACUGAUGCUGAUGAAUGUUUUCCUUAAUCUAUCCGAUACAAUUAUUUAUUCCACUCUCUUGGUCUGGUUCUUUCCCUUUCCCUGUGUAUUCUAUCUUUCUCUGUCUGCAAAUCUCUCUCUCUCUCUCUCUUUCUCACUCUUCAAGUUUGUGUGAAAGAGAUGGAAAAAUGGUUGUUGUCCAUCAAUAAUGAUAAGCCACCAGGUAUAGACAACCUAGAUGGGAAACUAUUGAGCAUGGUAGCAGACUGCAUUGCCACCCCUAUUUUCCAUGUCUUUAACCUCAGCCUAAAUAAGUGUGUAUGUCCACAGGCAUGGAAAGAAGCUAAAGUAAUACCACUAACUAAAAAUAGUAAAGCACCCUUUGCUGGCUUGCGUACUAUUGUUUGUCCAGAUGAACGUGGUACCUUCAGGCAUUUGGAAAUUGCUCCCAAGGAUAAACCAGACUUGUGGAGGUCUCCAUUUUUUUCUGAGGUCUUGGCUGAUUUCUUUUAAUUUUCCCAUGACGUCAGGCAAAGAGGCACUGAGUUUGAAGGUAGGCCUUGAAAUACAUCCACAGGUACCCCUCCAAUUGACUCAAAUUAUGUCCAUUAGCCUGUCAGAAGCUUCUAAAGCCAUGACAUCAUUUUCUGGAAUUUCCCAAGCUGUUUAAAGGCACAGUCAACUUAGUGUAUGUACCAAAGUGCAGCGUGUGUGUCGUUCCACAUUUUAUUUUCAGCGUGAAACUAUGUGAUACAUAAACAAUAAACUGAACAAACAAAAACAACAAACCGUGACGUUUGAAACAUACACUACUCAAAGACAAUCUCCCACAAACCCAGGUGGGACAAACACCAACUUAAAUAUGACCUCCAAUUAGAGACAACGUUGACCAGCUGCCUCUAAUAGGAGAUCAUCCCAAACAAAGCCCAACAUAGAAAUACAAUACUAGAACAACCCAACAUAGAAAUACAAAACUAGAACAUGUAAACUUGGCUAAAGGGCAUAAGGACAACAAAGUCAAGGUAUUGGAGUGGCCAUCACAAAGCCCUGACCCCAAUCCUAUAGAAAAUGUGUGGGCAGAACUGAAAAAGUGUGUGCGAGCAAGGAGGCCUACAAACCUGACUCAGUUACACCAGCUCUGUCAGGAGGAAUGGGCCAAAAUUCACCCAACUUAUUGUGGGAAGCUUGUGGAAGGCUACCCGAAAUGUUUGACCCAAGUUAAACAAUUUAAAGGCAAUGCUACCAAAUACUAAUUGAGUGUAUGUAAACUCCUGACCAACUGGGAAUUUGAUGAAAGAAAUAAAAGCUGAAAUAAAUCAUUCUCUCUACUAUUAUUCUGACAUUUCACAUUCUUAAAAUAAAGUGGUGAUCAUAACUGACCUACGACAGAAUUUUUACUAGGAUUAAAUGUCAGGAAUUGUGAAAAACUGAGUUCAAAUGUAUUUGGCUAAGGUGUAUGUAAACUGGAUAUCUACAAGGCCAUGGAUAGGCAGAGCUGUGGAUUGGCAUUUCCCUGAUAACUGUAUUGAAGACACAUUUUAAAUGAAGAAGUUAGACAUUACAUUUGUGUCAUUGCUAAUUAUUUUCUCACAGGGAGUAGUUAUUUUAGAUUAGCUGAAUGUUUACUGAGGUUUGUACUUAAAUAGGACAACCCAUAUGUAUGAGAGCUGUUUUGGUAUCUUCCCUGUAUAAAGACUGGCUCAACUCUUAGUUUCUCAUGCAUUGCUGGAUCAAUAGGUAAGAACAGUCUUCAUCUGCAUCAGGGUUCAUUUGACACAUUGUAGAGUGAAGAGACCUGGGGGAUGUUUUUGGAAAGUGUUGGUGAUGUUUAACAGGACUGUCUCAUGGCAUGGAGACCUACUGUACUGUAAUGCUACACUGGAUGGAGCCCAGUGUUACGGAUUUGUGUGAGGAACUGUCCUUCCCUUAAAGACACGCAAGUAUCACAGGCUUGAUCGCCUCAUUCUGAAGGCUGUGGUCCUUUUAGUUCUGCAUCUGAAAUGUGAGAUGGGGUAAAUCAGUGGUGUGAUGACACACAGGCAACCAGCAUCACUGCUAGGAGGAGACCACCAGCUGACACUGACCCCAAGAUGAGCGCAAUGGUCCUAGUUGACAUGGUGGAGACGACAGCCAUUACAGAAUUACCCACCAAACCAGGACCAAGCAGCGGAGGAGGAAGGAGCAACAGGAGAACAGCUUGAUGGACUCAUGGACAUGGGAACAGAUACUGGACGGAGGGGACCAUGGACUCAGGCUGGGGAGUAUCGCCUCCCGCAGUGGGAGAUUGAAGCGGCGAGAGCGGAGAGGCGAUAUUAUGAGGAGAGAGAGCGCAACAAGCACGAGAGGCAGCCCCAAUCAUUUUUUUGGGGGGGGGGCACACAGGACAGUCGGCGGAGCCGAGGUCGGAACCAGAGCCAGUCGGGUUGACAUUGGAGGUGAGCGAGGGGAACGAGGCAGAGACUGUGAAGGAGUUAAUGGGGAGAUUAAAGGAGAGAGAGAUGAGAGAGCUGCUAGUUUGGUGCAUAAGGCACGGUAUCCGCCCUACGGAGCGUGUCGUUGAAAUGAUGUCACCUGAGGCAGCUCUCCAUACUCGUCCUGAGGUGCGUGCUGGUUGUCUGGUGAGGACUGUGCCUGCGCCCAGAAACAGGCCUCCUGCAUGUCUUCCCAGCCCUGCACGUCCUGUGCCUACGCCCAGAACCAGGCCUCCUGCAUGUCUUCCCAUCCUGGUCAAGCCCGUGCCUCCUCCACGGACCAGUCCUCCAGUGGGUCUCCCUAUCCUGGUCAAGCCCGUGCCUCCUCCACGGACCAGUCCUCCAGUGGGUGUCCCCAUCCUGGUCAAGUCCGUGCCUCCUCCUCGGACCAGUCCUCCAGUGGGUCUCCCCAUCCUGGUUCGUCCUGUGCCUCCUCCAAGGACCAGUCCUCCGGUGGAUCCCUCCACCCUGGUCUCUCCUGUGCCGCCUCCUCAGACCGGGCCUCCAGCUGGUCUCCCCAGCCUGAUGAGUCCAGGGCCUGCGCACAGAGCCAGGCCUCCAUGUCUCCCCAGCCUGGCCGGAGUGGCCGGCCGUGCCGGAUCUGCCGGAGUGGCCCGCCGUGCCGAAUCGACGCCAAGGGUGCAGCAAAGGCCACGUCCCGCACCUGAUCCACCUCCAGGUUAGGUGGGUUGGGGAGGGGGGGUGUAGCACAGUGCCGUCGUUGACGGCAGCCACCCUCCCUUCCCUCCCUUAUUGUUUAAGGGGGGAGACAUUUUUUGGGGGGGAUUUUUUGUUGUUUCGGUGUAGGUGCAUUCGGGGUAUGCACCUUUGAGGGGGGGUACUGUCACGUCCUGACCAGUAGAGGGUGUAGUUGGGUCAGGACGUGGCAGAAGAGAAGUGUGUAGGUUGAUUUGUUUCGUUUAUUUUGGCCGUGUGGCUUCCAAUCAGGCACAGCUGUAGAGGGUUGUUGCUGAUUGGGAGUCACACAUAAGUAGCCUACUUUUCCUUUGGGGUUUGUGGGUAAUUGUUCUUGUUACUGUGUUAAUCGUGACAGGACUGUUUUGGUUGUCUGUUUAUUGUAUU
rnacentral:lncRNA from 1 species